AUUCAGAACAUCACCUCUCUCUGUCUCUCUUUCAUCCAUGCCCAGUUCCAGAGCUGCUUCACCACUCUUCAUCAUCAACCUCCGAAGCCUUUCCCCGACUCUUUAGACACCAUUCCGUCUCGUCGCUCUUUGAUGGGUCCUCCUCUUACGUUAUCGCAAGCAGCCACCUCCCUUCCACGACCGUCGAUUCUCCGUUCUCCCUCUGUCCCAUCUCCCUCCCUCUCGAUCUCCACCUCCUCACCGCUUCUUUGCACAACUCUCUUCGACUCUCACUGCCCACCUCUUCACAUCCAUCAGAUGCAGUAUGCAGAGGUUGCCAAGGCGGUGAGAUUCGAUGGUCCUAUUAUUGAUGUUGAUGCAUUAUCUGCUAUCAAGGACAGGGAGUUGGUGGUGGAGAAUUGCAUUACGCGAACUCUGCCCCCUGCAUUGACCCUCGAAUGCGGCCUCCAGAGUAUUAAAGAAGCUGUUGAGAAGCUGAAGUUGGAUCCUCCUCCUUCUGCCAGUGGAGUUUUCAGAUUCUCGGUUGCGGUACCUCCUAGUGCGAAAGCUCUAUAUUGGUUUUGCGUUCAAACGUUGUCAUCCAAGGUCUUUCCUCUGUUUUUUAUGUCCAAAGAGGAAGAGCCAACCUGUAAAACAUUGUACUUGAAGGAGACAAGGGGAACUUUUGGAAUUGGGGCAGCUGCUUAUUUCAGGUACUCUUCUACCGAAGCGGCAGGAGAAUCCACUCCGAUCAAAAGAUUUUUGUCGAAUGAUUCGGCACUGAUAAAGGCUUAUGGUUUUCUGGAUGUUAAUUUCAACACAGAGUUGUCUUCUAUGGAACAUGAGGCAGGCUCAUUUUACUUAUUCAUUCCUCAGAUUGAGCUGGAUGAAUGUGAGAAUGUUUCUACUUUGUCAGCAACACUGGCCUGGAGUGGGCCUUCCUCCUGUCCGUUUGAGGAGGCUCUCAUAUCAUUCGAGUCAUCUUCACACCAGGUGAUCUCAUAUAUUCAGAAUACCAUAGAGAAAUUCCCUGUUGCUCGUAUACGAUCUACUCUUGAAAAGCUCAAUGUGGUGGAGAAUACUUUAUCCUCGAUGGUCCAUAGAUUUGUGACCUCACAAGAUGCGAUCAAUGCUUUGUCUGACCCAAUGGAUCUGGAAGAGGCUUCAUCUUCCUCUCAGUUUACUGUCAGGCUUUCGCCAAAGAUUACUCUCUCGAGCAAUAUGCUGUCACAAGCAACUGAAAGAAGUUACUCAGUGCGGGAUCUUGCCAACAUCAAUGCAGUUUGGGCUUCACUUAUCAUUGAAGAAUGCUUUAGACUUGGCUUGACGUACUUUUGUAUAGCUCCGGGAUCGAGAUCAUCUCCACUUGCUAUUGCUGCAGCGAGUCAUCCUUUGGUUACGUGUAUUGCUUGCUUUGACGAGCGUUCACUGGCAUUUCAUGCUGUUGGUUAUGCAAGAGGAUCUCGGAGACCAGCCAUUGUAAUAACGACAUCAGGCACUGCUGUAUCAAAUCUUCUUCCUGCUGUUGUGGAGGCGAGUCAAGAUUUUAUGCCUCUUUUAUUACUCAGUGCAGACCGUCCUCCAGAGCUGCAGGAUGUUGGAGCAAACCAAUCAAUCAAUCAGGUAAACCAUUUUGGUUCUUUUGUGAGGUACUUCUUCAGUCUUCCUGUGCCGAGUGAUCGUAUUCCUGCACGAAUGGCACUUACAACACUUGAUUCUGCUGUGCAUUGGGCGACCUCUGCGCCGUGUGGCCCUGUUCAUGUUAACUGUCCUUUUCGGGAACCUCCAGAUGGAAGACCAGAGAAGUGGAUGCUUAGCUGUUUGAAUGGGUUAGAUCUUUGGAUGACCAAUGCUGAACCAUUCACUAAGUAUAUCCAAGUGCAACAUUACCACUUAAACGCUGAUGCUACACGUAAAAUGGAAGAGAUUUUGAAGUCAAUUCAAGCUUUGGACAGAGGGCUUCUAUUACUUUGUGCAAUUCACUCAGAGGAUGAUAUAUGGGCAGCUCUUCUCUUGGCUAAGCACCUUUGUUGGCCUGUUGUAGCUGACAUAUUAUCUGGUUUAAGGUUAAGAAGGCUUUCAUCUGUGGAGAACAUUUUGUUUCUAGAUCAUCUUGAUCAUGCUCUGAUCUCAGAUUCCUUCAAAAAUUGGAUGCAGGUUGAUGUGGUAAUUCAGAUUGGAAGUAAACUUACAAGCAAAAGAGUUGCUCAAAUGCUAGAGAAUUCUCCCCCGCGUUUGUAUAUGAUGGUUGAUGAACAUCCAUGUCGCCAUGACCCAUCACACAUGAUAACGCACAGGAUCCAGAGUUCCAUCGUUGGAUUUGUUGAUGUCCUUCUUAGAGGUCACUUUCUAUACAGAAGCAGUACAUGGAGUGACUAUCUACAAGCUCUAAACAAUAUGGUUGCACGGGAGUUAUCUUUUCAAGUUGAUGCUGAACACUCUUUAACCGAACCUCAAGUUGCUUGUGUGAUUUCAAAAACACUCUCACCUGCGAAAGCUCUAUUUGUUGGAAACAGCAUGGUAAUUCGGGAUAUGGACAUGUAUGGACAGAGUCGGACAAAUUUUACUGACACAGUCACUUCGAUGCUUCUCAAUGCAAGACUACAGUAUCAGCUGAUACGAAUAGCUGCAAAUAGAGGAGCUAGCGGCAUUGAUGGUUUACUUAGUACAGCUGUGGGCUUUGCUCUUGGUAGCAACAAACGAGUAGUUUGUCUAAUUGGUGAUGUUUCUUUCCUUCAUGAUACAAAUGGCUUGGCAAUUUUGAGCCAAAGGACAUCAAGAAAACCAAUGACAAUUAUUGCCAUAAACAAUCAUGGUGGUGCAAUUUUCAGUCUCCUUCCUAUUGCAAAUAAUGCUGAUCCUCAAGUGCUGGAUAAGUAUUUCUACACUUCCCAUAACGUCUCAAUUAGAAAGCUGUGCCUUGCUCAUGGCGUGAAGCAUGCCCUGGUGCACACGAAGAAACAAUUUCAAGAGGCUCUAAACAAAUCUGACUAUGAAAGAAUGGAUAGUGUCAUUGAAGUCCAAAGCUACAUUGAAGCAAAUGCACUUGCUCACAGUUCUUUGAGAAGGUUUGCUUCACAAGCAGCAAAUGAUGCUUUACGUAUCCUUAUGAAGGUUUCUGCACCAGGCUCUGUUUCAUUUUCACCUCAGUUCCUGUUUUGUGAAAUUCUCAGGGUGGAAUUCUCCAUGUACAGAAUUCCGCUGGUGGCGCCACCCACUUCAGCUGAUCCCGGUUGUGCAACUUUAUACAGAGAGGGCUUUCUGUUACAUUUGUAUCUUGAAGAUGGUAUCGUCGGCCUUGGAGAGAUUGCACCUCUUGAAAUUCACGAAGAAAACCUGCAAGAUGUAGAAGAGCAGCUUCGGUUUCUGAUCCAUGUGAUGAAAGGAGCUAAGAUUAAUUAUAUGCUUCCUACACUCAAGGGUUCAUACUCUUCUUGGAUAAGGAGCGAAUUGGGAAUUAUGCCAUGUUCAAUCUUUCCAAGUGUCAGAUGUGGUCUGGAAAUGGCAAUGCUCAAUGCCAUUGCAGGAAAACAAGAUUCUAAUUUGUCAAGCAUACUCAGUUGCCAUAGAAAUAGAGAUGUAGUAUCUGAGAAGUCACAGGGUGUCAGGAUAUGUGCUUUACUUGAUCCACAUGGGACUCCUGAAGAGGUGGCUCAAGUUGCUAGUAUGCUUGUUCAGGAGGGAUUUACAGCAAUAAAGUUGAAAGUAGCACGCCAGGCAGAUCCAAUUCAAGAUGCUAUAAUUAUACAGGAAGUGAGAAAGAAGGUUGGCUACAAGAUUCAACUCCGUGCAGAUGCCAAUAGGAAGUGGACUUACGAAGAAGCAAUCCGAUUUUCCUCUUCUGUUAAAAACUGUGAUUUGCAGUAUAUUGAGGAACCUGUCCGGGAUGAACGUGAUAUUGUAAAGUUCUGCGAAGAGAGUGGAUUAUCCGUUGCGCUGGAUGAGACUAUCGAUCACUGUCGACAAGACCCUCUCAAGAUGCUUGCCGAUUAUGUUCACCCAGGAAUAGUUGCUGUCGUCCUUAAACCAAGUGUGCUUGGUGGAUUUGAAACAUCAGCUACGGUCGCUUGGUGGGCUCAGCAUCUGGAGAAGAUGGCUGUCGUGAGCUCUACCUUCGAAAGUGGUGUGGGUUUAUCAGCAUACAUUUUGUUUUCCCAUUAUAUUGAUCUGCAUCAAGCAAAGUUACUCAAAACGAGAAACCACAAAGUUGAUCCACCCAUCGCACAUGGUCUUGGGACUUAUCAGUGGCUCAAAGAUGAUGUGACAACUAAUCCUCUAAAGAUUUCUCAUCAUCCAAUUAGUGAGUGCGUAGAGGCGGAUAUAGCUCAUGCUAGUAGACUGCUUCAGAAUUUUCAAGUCAAUGACAAGGUUAUAGUUAGAAAAUCUACUGAUGAGGAAGUCCGUAGAUACAACUUGACGGUGAACUUGAACAGCCAUCAGUAUUCAAUCAAUGCGAUGGAAGUUGGGCAAGAAACUCAGGACAAUGUACUUGUGUUCCUUCACGGUUUUCUAGGAACUUGCGAAGAAUGGAUACCAAUAAUGAAGGCCAUUUCAGGAUCAGCUAGAUGCAUUUCGAUCGACCUUCCUGGCCAUGGGAAUUCAGUUGGCCAAUCUUGUGCGACUGAGGAAGCAGCUGAGAAACCAAGACUGUCUAUUGAGAUUGUUGCAGAUGUGUUAUGCAACUUACUACAACAGAUAACUUCUAAGAAGAUUAUUCUUAUCGGAUACUCGAUGGGAGCAAGGAUAUCAUUGUAUAUGACCUUGAAAUUUACUGACAAGAUUAAAGGUGCUGCUAUAGUAUCUGGUAGCCCUGGGUUGAAAAAUGCCAGUGCAAGAACAGUUCGCCGUGCUAAAGACGAUAACAGAGCACAAAUUCUCGUUACAUAUGGCUUACCAGUCUUUCUCGAUUCUUGGUAUGAAGGAGAGCUGUGGAAGAGCUUAAGGAACCAUCCACAUUUUCAGAAGAUAGUUUCAAGCCGCUUACAGCACAAGGAUGUACAUGGUCUUGCAAAAGCUCUGUCUGAUUUGAGCAUUGGGCGGCAACCGUCACUUUGGGAAGACUUGAAGCGCUGCGAGACUCCUCUUUUGCUUGUUGUGGGGGAAAGUGACGCGAAGUUCAAGGCAAUUGCUCGAAAAAUGUUUGAUGAAAUUGGCCACAAUAGAGAAGUCGGAGAUGGCUCGCCAGAUUCUAGCUGCGAGAUCGUCGAAGUUCCCGGGAGCGGACAUGCCGCCCAUUUGGAGAACCCUCUCGCCGUCGCUCGGGCAUUGAGAAUGUUCUUGACAAGGGUAAAUGAAGAGUUCAAAGACUAAAACAGGAAGGUCGUCAACUAGACCUCUCCGUUUCUUUGGGUUCCUUGCCUUGUCCUAAUUGUUUUGCCCGGAGGAUCUGCUUUGGUAUUGGAAAGGUUGCUCUCUUUCCUCAAAUAAAGACCU